GCCGGCGUAACUCAGCGGUAGAGUAGCUGUUUUGUAAACAGCAAGUCAGUGGUUCGAAUCCACUCGUCGGCUCAA
rnacentral:tRNA from 4 species